rnacentral:rRNA from 1 species
GAUGAACGCUGGCGGCGUGCCUAAUACAUGCAUGUCGAGCGAACAGACUAGGUGCUUCCUCCUCUUACCUUUGCGCCGGACUGGUCAGUAACACCUGAAUAACCUACCUAUAAGACUUGUAUAACUUCGGGAAACCGGAGCUAAUACCGGAUAAUAUAUUGAAUCUCAUGGUUCAAUAGUGAAAGACAAUUUUGCUGUCACUUUUAUAUUGAUCCGCGCCGCAUUAGCUAGUUGGUAAGGUAACGGCUUACCAAGGAGACGAUGCGUAGCCGACCUGAAAGGGUGAUCGGCCACACUGGAACUGAGACACGGUACAGACUCCUACGGGAAGCAGCAGUAGGGAAUCUUACGCAAUGGGCGAAAGCCUGACGGAGCAACGCCGCGUGAGUGAUGAAGGUCUUCGGAUCGUAAAACUCUGUUAUUAGGGAAGAACAAAUGUGUAAGUAACUAUGCACGUAUGGACGGUAAAUAAACAGAAAGACACGGAUAACUACGUG